UUUUAAAAAGUGACUGAAACCAAAAUUUAAAAUAUUUUAAAAUUGUUAGUUUAGGUCGAGUAAUAGGAAAAACCCUAGGGAGGAGAUAAUGGUUAGAACUAGAGGUCUCGAACGAGCUUUAGGCCGAGCAAUAGGAGCCCUAGGGAGGAGAGAGGCUAGUGAUGAUGAUAAUGAUGCCCCCUAACGCCAAAGGCCUAUUGCAUAUGUCCGUAGGCAAUGACAACAGACGCGUGUUGUUGAGGAUCCUCUUAUGGCCACGGAGGAAUUAAACGAAGAGCAGCAACAACCACCUGUUGAAGAAGGUUUUACUAAUGUUGAGGGUUUUUCAUGCGGACCCCAUGACACAUCAGUUUUGAGAGAUUUUGAAAAUCACAUUGCUUUGAGAGUCUGAAAUGGAGAGGAACGUCCUCAGCUGAAGCUAUCUUCCCAUGGAAGGCAGAUGGCUAAGUUCGGUAGGCCUGCUCUAGAGAUUGAAGGCCUUGUGGCUGCCAACGGACUAAGUCCUUUGAUCGCAUGUUCCCUAGAUACGGGCGAUUGAGGACUAAUGUUUGCUUUUGUGGAACACUGGCAUAAGGAAACUAGUAGUUUUCAUUUUCCCAUAGGAGAGAUGGCUAUCACCUUGGAUGACAUGGCGUUGUUGCUACAUGUGCCUAUCAUAGGGGCAUUCCAUAGCUUCGAGCAACUUCAUGUCGACGAUGCCAUCAAUAUGUUGGUGGAAUUACUUAAGGUUAGCGCUGCAGAGGCAAGAGCUGAGAUGAUUCAAUGUCAUGGCUCGUAUGUUCAACUAUCAUGGCUGCAAGAUGUGUAUCAGAUGAAAAUCGAGGUAUGUCACUGGAUCGUAGCUGCACGAGCGUAUUUGUUGCAUCUUCUUGGAUGCACACGCUUUGCUAACAAGAGUGACACACACGUGCACGAGGUAUUCUUGGAUGCACAGGGUAUUCUUGGAUGCACUGUGUGACUUGACACAGAGUGGGACUUACGCUUGGGGCGCUGCUGCACUUGUGCAUAUGUAUGAUAAUUUAAAUGAGGCAUCAAAGAGCAUGACAAGGCAGCUUGCAUGAUAUAUCACUUUGUUACAAGUUAGUUCACAUGUUAAUAAAACAUUUUUUCAUUGGCGUUGGUUAUUAUAUGUUGUUGCUUAUUUUAAUGAAUAUGAUUGCAAAAUAUCUAUAGUGUUGGAUUUACAAGCAUUUCAUGUCUGUUGGUUCCCCCUAGCUACCGGGGAAUAUGACGAGCGGAGACUACGUGCAUGCCAAUGGACCUCUGGCAAGGCAUGACCCAUGUUGACGUAUCGUAGGUGUUUGGAUAGAUUGACCCCUGAUGUUGUGUACUGGAUUCCAUAUGGUGACCAUUUUUCAUUUAGAAAAUUUGAGGUCAUCUCCUUGUUUUUCAGUCAUCUUAGAUAGAGUCCCUUAAAGGUCAUUCAUCGACCGGAGAUGGUUGUACGACAGUUUGGGUACAUUUAGACCAUUCUGCCACAUCCUGUUGCACCUUCGGCUUCUAUUGAAGAAAUGGAUGCUAGAUGGAUGCAGUUCGGUGACUAUAUUGCACCUGUAGGGAAAAUUUGUGUAGCGCUUGGCCAAUGUUCGUCAUAUUACAUGGAGUGGCUCUACAUGAUUUCACAUCCGUUUAUGACUCCGGCACAACCAGGGGAUCCUCCUAGAGUUCCGCCAGUUUAUCAAUAUGACACAUUUGUUGAACCAUAUGUGUCUCAACAAUCGGUGGCGGUAGUGACACCUGAUGAAGUAGACUUUGAGGUGCAUCUUCCUGGACAUCUAGUGGAUGGUUAUGUAGCAAUUGCUGAUAAAUUGGAUAGACUACUGAACCUGAGGAUCCUGAUCGAAGGAACAAAAGUCUAUACUGUUGCUGAAGAAUGUCUAAGCAUCAUAAGAAGCUACAUUGGUCAACUAACUAGAGGUCACAGAUCAAGGCGUAGGCGGUGUAUAGACGAUCAUUGGAGUUUUUUUUGCCUUAUAUAUGUUAAUUUUUAUUUUUUGGAUAAUUUUUUUAUUUGGUACAUUUAUUUAUUGACAUUGACAUUUGAUUAAUUUAUAAAUUUGGUG